AUUACCCCAAAACCUUAAUCAUUUCUCACCCUACCCUGCCACCCUCAUUUUCUUUUUCUCUCUAUUUUCUCUCAUCCUUUCAAACCCAUCAGUCAUGGAAACCUUGCACGAACCAGUGCAAGGUCACAAGACCUUCCCCAAAUCGUCCUUCCCUGUUUCUCCAUCAUCAAAUCCCGUUGAUUUUCCACUUUUUCCUCUUCAAAUAUGAGGGAUUAGACAUGGCCAAUAAAGUUGAAACACUAUUUCUUUUCGUUCUUUCAGAUAAAACUUACAGAAUUGCCUCAUUUGUUCCUAGGAGAUUAAAUCGGUGAUUUUAGUUUUCAUUUUCGUUGAUUAAAUUCAAAACCCCCAAUUUGAAACCUUAUACCUAAAUGAUAAUACUUCGUUCUAAUGAUGGUUAUUCUAGACCAGAGGUCAAAUUCAAUGACCUCUCAACCUCUGACCUUUACCCGAUGGUUUUCAUGACUUCUAAUUUCUGUCGUACACUCAAGUAAAAGCUUCACUCAUUUUUGCUUUGUCUCUUAGAUUUUCUCUUGAUUUUUCCAUCAUCAUCAAUCUUUCGUCACUUUCCACUCACAAUUUGAAUACGGUUAAAAUCCUAGAGCCUUAAUGGCACUAUAAAAAGGGUCUUUAAUGUUCUCAUCUAGCACCACCUAACACUGAGAAAACAACAUCUACCAUUAUCUACUACAACAUAGAAUCACCAACUAAAACAAUUGUCUAAGAGCAAUUCUAACAUUAAAUAACCUAGGGUUUCUGACUCUUUUACUUUUCUUUUGUUUUUAACGCUUUCGCUGCUUCAAGCUUGAAAUCUUGGGCCAUAAAAAAUUAAGAAGGAUUCUAGUUUGGUCUGCUUCCCUCAAGAAGAUCAGUACAUUCCUAACUUUUCUCUUUAAUCAUCUUAUAUAAACAUUUUGAACAUGCUAGUUCUUUUCUAUGAAUUGUAGUUGUUUAUGAUGUUUAUAACUAGUGUGGAGAUGUUUUUUUUAAGAUAAUAUGUUUUAUGCUUAUGAUCACUUGUCCUACCUCUUGAGUCUUGAAUUAAUGUUUGAUCUAUUUAUUUGGUGACUCCUCAUGACUUCCUUUUCUAAGUUCAAAUAGUCAACACGUUUAAGUUGUAACGUGUUUUGAAUAACUGCUCUUACUUGCCUAAACUUUAUAGUCAUUCAUUGAUGAUCCUGUUGUGAUAUUUACCUUUACAUAUUAUUUCUCAGUAUUCUGUUUGUCUUGUGGUCUAGUUUAUCAUUCGAUAAUACUAAUUAGGAUGAACCUGAAAGUUCAUAAGGACAUAUCAUUUAACUAAGGCAUGAAAAUCUAAGUGUUUAUAAACUUUCCUUCUCUACAUCUAUAUCUUCUAACUCUGAGGGAAACUUCUGGACUAUUACUAUGACAUUCUCAUGUUCAUAUCUAGUUGUAAAUUGUAUCUAUAUAAGAUAAUAUUGUUAAGUUGAACUUUCAUGGAUGCCAAUAGAUGUACUAUACACGUAUUUUGUUAAGAUUAAGUUGUCAUCUUUUUAUGCAGCGAAAUUAGAUGACUUGAUUUCUCACUGUCAAGUCACUUCGAUAGAACGCCACGAGCCCCCGAGGACGAGAACCCAUGACCGAGUUCCCGAACUUGGGGCUCGUCAAGGCCCAACUCAUUGAAGAUGGAGAUCAAAGCCAGGACAGAGAAGUAAGCUCCCAAGGCACACGGCUAAGUCUGAUUGGGUUGACAUAUCCAGAUCCUAUGCUGAGGCGUCACGUCAAGCCGUCCCAUCUCAAUGCUUUAUUAUUAAUGCUCAUGUACUAGUAGACGAAUUCCCCUCAUAUAUAAAAAGAUCUCGCACUACCUUGUAGAGGAAUUACGUUUCUCCAUUUCUUCACAAGUGCAAUAAUAUCUAUCUCUCUCUCUCUUAUUUCUAAACUCUCUCGUCCUCACUGGCCGGAGGCCACUUCAAUAUUUAUAGCUUUCUUACUCGUUCUUCAUUAUAUUUCUCGGUAUCGGCCAUAAAGAUCCUUGUUUAAUCAUAUCCUUAGUUGUUAUCCCAUCCCCGACUAUCCCCGAUAGCUUGAGCUCGGUCAUGACAUCAACCCCAGGGUCCCCCAUCGACCAGUCCUACAUACGGGCAACAUGUUUCUCAGUUUGACUACUACCUCGUUUUAACUUGCAUUUCAUCAUUAACUCCAUAUUCUUACCAUCAUCUGCUCUAACAACUAGAAUGGUAAUAGAUCAUGUAUUUUUAGAAUCCCAUUCAUAAAUUUAAUUGUCAUACCAUUUUCACGGUAAAUAGUUUAGCACCCAUCUUGGGCUUAAAAAUAAUAAUGAUUAUUUUCUUAUUGGUUCCACUGCACAAGCGCAUGUUAUCAUUCACACUAUUUCUUAUCAAAGAUCCUUUUAUUUCAGGUCAACAUUGUUGGCCCGGUAAACAGAAUCCAGAACAUUACCCCAAAAAUCACGGCAAAAAUGGUGUGGUUGUUCCAGUGGUUGGCGCGAUGCCGCAGUACCCUGAUAACGCAUCUGUGCUAAUUCGAGCAGAUGCGGGUUCAGAAGGCGUGCAGCAGGUCGAUGAUGCCUCACACACCGUUGGGAGCGUAAAACACGUUGAUCGACAGGAUGCCCAAUGGAAGAGAUUGCCCCCGAUUUUGGGCGACUGGGAAUCACAAGCUUUCUCCCGAAGCUGAAACGAAGCAUGCCCAACGACUCCAGGACAUUUCAAAUGAAGCUCGAUCAGUUAGCCAAUCGAGAUCUGGUCGGGUUCCCGUACCUGGAACCAACCACAAAAUCAGAUUUGUGGAUGACCAUCCGGGAGCCUCCUUGGGCUCGUUAUACCCAGUCAGGCUCUCGUCAAGGAUUCUAGUGCCAAAAAGAUGUAGGUACAAUCCAUGCACCAUGGAUAGGAUGAAUACCACUAGGUGCAACCUACCUCGCAAUGAUCAUGUAAUAGCUAGAGGGAAACACUCUCAGGGAGCCUUCAGCGGAGCUAGGUUCAACGAGGCAUGGCUGGCAGGGGCACCCCGCCCAGUGGAGUAGGAUUUUAGCAUUACCAUACCAAACAUAAUGAUCACCAUAACCAAAACUAGGGACGUCGAUCGACUCAGGCCUAUUCGGCCAGGACCCCUUCAAAAGAACGCAACCUGGCACAGGGAUUGCAGGGCGUGCACGGCCACAGGGUCAAAAAUGUCCACCAGCUGAGGAUGACGAAAGCCGGGCUACUCAAUAAAAUUACCAUCGGGUGUCAUCGAGUGGUCAGGCUCGAAACUUCCUCCAAGGGAGGAAGGCAAUCAGGAAGAAUGAAACGAACAAGCCGUGACGUAUUACAACGAUAAUGAAGGAGCAGUGACACCCUCCGAGGACUCAUAAAAUGUAAAGUAAUAAUGUUUGUUGCUAGGGAAAAAUGGGUCCCGGGAACUAUCACAAAAGGCACCCUUACAUACAGAGAAAAGGAUACCGAUACUUCGCCUCGGCCUCAUACUGAUGCAUUGGUAACCCUCACCGUCAUUUGAUCUAUUUCAAGUAAAAAAUGCAUUUAUGAAUUUAUGUGGUUUGAUCAAGCAUGUAAACGGUAUCGAACCAAAGUUAGUGGGGCAAUUCGGACUAACAAACCAAAUCGCUUCCGCAUCUCGAAUCUUUGACAAACUCUAAAAGCAUCGAUCACUACAAAGACCAUUCUCUCGAUAUAGGCCAUCCAAAAUCGAGCUGGAAUGCUGAGCUCCGUACCAUCAAAGAAGGCUUAUGGCACGAACGUCUUAUUUAGACAGCUACCAUCUCACCACCCGUAGACAGCGUCGACCCUAUUUAGCCAAGAGAAUGAUAUCCCACACAAAGGGCAGAACUAAAAUAAGUCAACAAGGAGCAAUACAUGACGAGAGGAAAUUCUUCACCGUAUGGCGCGUCGCCGGCAUCAAUGCCACACCCUCAGAAGGAUCAAAAGGGUAAGCAAACCAUAUUUUCGGCCAAGUCUGAUAAGACACAAUAUUGGGCUAUAUCAGGACGCACGCCUCGAAAGAGUAGGAAUAUACCAAAUCUCAAAACAUUGCCUACGCAUCCCAAGGUGAGGAAGAACUGCUUCACUCCCUUGUUAUUGUUUCACUAACCUGUAUGCAGACAACUAGCAAGGACAUUCAGAAGUUCUAACUCUACCCGGAGAUCCCUAGUCAUUAAAAGGGCCCAUCGCACUCUUUCCCCUCAAUAGGACUUCCGCCCAAAAGAGGGCCUCACAAGCAAGAUUAUAAGCCGAGCAACGUACCCCCAAAGGAUUUCGACAAGAUCACGGGCUUUCUUUUGCAGUUAACUACGAGUGAUGAUCUUAUUAUUAAGGGCACCGUCCCCUCAGAAUGACCGAGAAAUGUCAGGCUGCGUUUCAAUACUGAAUCAUGUACGUGAUCGAAUAGUCUGAAGAGCCACGCCCGCGCGGGCCAAGAUCAUGGCAAUGAGACAAUAUAUGUUUAUUCCAAGAAAUAAAAGGAAAUUUUUUAGCAUCUUAUUCCCCUAACAAAGAAACCGCAGUGUACCCCGGCAGGAACCUCUCCGCCUAAUGCGUCCCGAGACACUAGAAGACUUAGCAUCAACAAAUCAGCACCUGCAUGACCCCAGGAUCGGAACUCCGGGAAUAUAUAGCCUCAACAAGGUAGCUCCACGCCCACAAACAACAGCCUUCGAGCCCAAGAAAACUCAAUAACUCAGAGACUGUCGCCAAUCACCAUGAACUAAAUAAACCGAAACUGUAAGACCCCUAACGGGCAGACUCGGACUACCCAUCCGUCUGAGGAUAAUAUAUUGUACUCGGCUCAAUCUAAGUGCACAACCCUUGUUGAACUGCUCUUCAGAAACGCAAGAUAAACUGCAUAUCUCAGUCUGAAAUGAUAGAUAAGGGCACACCAUAGACACGAACACUCCCAAAUAUAGAUCUCAGCAAACCUCUUGGAUAAAUAGGAGACUGCCACAGGAAUGUAAUGUGCUGAAUUGGUCGGCCUAUCAACAAUUACCCAUACUGCGUCAAAUUUCCUCCGACUUUGCUGGAGGCUAACAACGAAGUCCAUAGUGAUCCUCUCCCAUUUCCACUCGUGAAGCUCAAUCCUCUGAAACAAUCCAACAGGCCUCUAAUGCUCAUAAUUAACCUGCUGACAAUUCAAACACUAAGCCACAUGUGCAAUCAUAUCCUUCUUCAUUCUAUGCCACAAAUAGUGAUGUUGUAAAUCUUGAUAAAACUUUGCGGCGCCCGGAUAAAUAAAGUACCAAGAUCUAUAGGCCUCCUCUAAAUCAACUCUCUAAGCCCAUCCACAUUAGGCACACAAAAUCGCCCCUACAAUCUCAAAACUCCAUCAUCAUCUUAGGUAACCUUCUUGGCACCUCAAUGUGGCACCGUGUCUCUAAGGACAUACAAAUGGGGAUUAUCAAAUUGCCAAUCACGGAUAUGCUCCAAUAAAGAAGAACAAGCGACCAUGCAGGCUAAUACUCGGCUAGGCUCAGAGACAUCCAACCUCAAAAACUUAAUGUCCAAAGCCUAACAUCCAAAUCAAGCAGCGUCUCACCGACCAGAAUAUAAGCAAGACUACACAUACUGGUUGACUUCCUAGUCAAAGCAUCUGCCACCACAUUGGCCUUUCCCGUGUGAUAUAUAAUGGUGAUAUCAUAAUCUUUCAACAACUCUAACCACCUUCUCUGCCUUGAAUUCAACUCCAUUUGCUUCAACAAAUACUGAAGACUCUUGUGAUCCAUGAAGACCUCACAUGGCACGCUGUACAGAUAAUGCCUUCAAAUCUUCAAUGCGUGAACUAUGGAUGCCAACUCCAAAUCAUGGACCGGGUAGUUCUUCUCAUGAAUAUUCAAUUGUCGCGAAGCAUAGGAAAUAACCUUGCCAUCCUGCAUCAAUACUGUGCCAAGCCCAAUGCGAGAAGCAUCACAAUAAACUGUAUAAGGCUUUGAACUUGUGAGAAAAACCAACACUGGUGCCGUAGUUAGAGUUGUAUUGAGCUUCUACAAGCUCGACUCACACUCAUCGACCUUCUGAUAUGGGCACCCUUUUGGGUCAACCUGGUCAUCGAGGCUGCAAUAGAUGAAAACCCCUCCACGAACUACGAUUGAAGCCUGCCAAUCCGAAGAAACUCCAAAUCUCUAUAGAUGAUGCUCGUCUUGGAAAGUUCUUGACUUCCUCAAUUUUCUUUGGAUCAACCUAAAUACCCUCUGUUGAUACAUUAUGACCUAUGGAUGCAACUGAACUUGGCCAGAACUCACACUUCGAGAUGCUGCUCCUGCUUCUCCUGGAUAUAGAAGUAUAUCAAAAUAAAAAACAUCAAUGAAGACCAUCACAAAUGAUUCCAAAUAAAGCUUGAACACUCGGUUCAUUAAGUCCAUAAAAGUUGCUGGGUCAUUUGUCAACCCAAAUGACAUAACCAAGAACUCAUUAUUCCGGUACCGAGUGGAGAAAUCUUCCUUAGUGACAUCAGAUUCCCUAAACCUCAUUUGAUGGUAGCCAGAUCUUAUACCAAUCUUUGAAAAUACCUUGGCACCAUGAAGCUGAUCGAACAAAUCAUCAAUCCGUGGCAGUAAAUACUUAUUCUUGAUUGAAACCUUGUUCAACUGCCGGUAAUCUAUGCACAUUCUCAUUAAACCAUGCUUUUUCUUAACGAACAACACCGGGAACCCCAAGGAAAAAUGCUGGGUCUAAUGAAACCCUUUUCAAACAAGUCUUUCAACUGCUCCUUCAACUCUUUCACUUCUAGCGGGGCAAUACGAUAUGGUGGGAUAGAAAUGGCUGAGUGCCUGGAGCCAAAUCAAUACAGAAGUCAAUAUCCCUGUAGGGUGGAAUCCCCGGCAGGUAUUAAGGAAAAACCUCAGGAAACUCACUAACGACGGGCAUAGAAUCAAUAGAGGUAACCUCAGCACUAGAGUCGUGAACAUAUGCCUAAUAGGACAAACACCCCUUCUCGACCAUAAGACGAGCCUUCACAUACGAGAUAGCGUUGCGGGUAGAAUGAGCAGGAUCCCCUCUCCAAUCUAAACGAGGCAUACCCGGUAAAACGAAGGUCAUAAAUUUGGCUUAGCAAUCCAUGAUGGCGUGGUAAGGUGAUAACCAUUCCAUCCCCAAUAUAACAUCAAAGUCGACCAUAUCCAGAAGCAAAAAUAUCAACUCGAGUCUCGAUACCCUCAAUCACCACAAUAAAUGAAUGAUUGACUCAUUAAACUACGAUGGAAUCACCAUUGGUGUAGACACAUAAACAAGGACACUUAGUAAAUCACUAGGCAUAACCAGAUACAUUGCAAAAUAGGAUGAUACAAACGCAUAUGUAGACCCUGGAUCAUAUAUUACUGAAGCAUCUCUAUCACAAACCAGAACAGUACCUAUGAUUACAAUAUCUGAAACAUCAACCUCGUGCCUGGCUAGAAGAGAAUAACAUAAGGGUUGGGCCCAACCACCCUGUACCAUCUCUCUAGAACGGCCUGCAGCUGGCUGGCCUCCACCUUUGGUUGUUUGAGCUCCACCUCUAAAUCAUAUAGCUCCACCUCUACCACCUCUGCUCCCGACUCUAGCUGGCUAGGCGAUCUGUGGAACAUCUGGUGCCUGAAUGAUAGCACGGAAACCCUACUACUAUGAAUGAGUGCCCACUAACCUUGUACAAGCCCUCGGGAUACGACUAUGCCCACCACACUCAUAACAUCUACCUGAGUGCUCCAGCUGAGGAAACUAAGACUGGCCUUGGCAACCUGAAUGACCACCUCGAAAACAUAUGAUUUGGUUGUGCACUGUAUGGCUGCUGAUUAGAAUACUGUAUGCGAGAACCACGACCACUUGGAGCACCAUGAGAAACCUAAAGAUCUGACUGAAAGGGCCUAGAAGGGUGGCCUCUACCAUAUGAAUCUCUACCUCUAGACGAGGUACCACUGAAUCUUCCUAAAUGACGGGGCCUCUUAUCUAACCCAUGACCACCUCCCUGUGUCAAAACCAUCUCAACUCUGCGAGCCACAUUGGCCACCUCCUGAAAAGUGAUCUCAAUCCUAGCCUCUCUAGCCUUCUGAAGACGAAUCGCUAGAUAAGACCGGAAAUCAACCUCCUAAACCUCUCUCUCUUGUUAGGAAGUAUGACAAGAGAAUGUGGAGCUAUGUUGAUGAACUUGGUCUCACAGUGGGUGACCGUAAUGGAACCCUGCUGGAGGCGCUCAAACUUCCUCCGAUAGGCCUUUCUCUGAGUAAUGGGGAGAAACAUUUCUAGAAACAACACAAUAAACUGCUCCCAAGUCAAAGAUGACGACCCGACUAGCCUAGCUAAGAAACAAUCCCUCUACCAAAUCUUGGCGGAUCCAACCAAACAAAAUGUGGCAAAAUCGACCCUAUUGGUCUAAACAAUACCCAUGUUCCUAAGAACAUCGUGGAAACUAUCUAGAUAAUCCUGAAGAUCGUCAGUAGAUGCACCGCAGAAUGUAGAAGUGAAGAGCUUGGUGAACCUAUCCAGCCUCUACAAAGCAUCGCCAGACAUGGCUGCUCCAUUUCCGGUCUGAGCUACUACACCCAGUUGAACUGCUCAAACUAGCGAAACUGCUAGAGUCAGAAUCUAGGAAGCUACCUGCUCUGGAGGGCGAGUAUCCUGAGUUUGAGCCCAUGCUCCAGCCUGAGAGACAACUGGUGCUAGGUAAACCUGCUCGGGUGACACUCUCUAUGAGGCCCACUAAUCGGACCAAAGCAUCCUGAAGAACUGGGGUAGCAAUAACCCCCUCCCCUCGGGGAUCUUAGCUGGGCCCACCGGAAUUGCUGGGGCCAGAACCUCCUCGCAAAAAUCAAUCUGAGGCUCCGCCACCGAGGCUGAGUUCUGCCCCUACCUUGACCUCUAGAAUGGCCUCGGCCUCGCCCUCAACCCCUUGUUGGAGCUGCUACUGGGGGCUCGAGCUCCUAAGCGGUAGAUGAGGAAGUACGUGAUCACGGCAUCUGCGAAAGAACAUAGUAGCAAAUUAAAUUAGCAUUCAAGAAACAAAACCACAUGACAAGAAAGAACAAAUAUGAAUUUUUCCUAACCCCGUAGCCUCUGGGGGAUAAACACAGACAUCUCUGUACCUAUCCCUCAAACUCUACUAAUCUUGUCCGUGAGUUGUGAGACCUAUGUAACCUAGAGCUCUGAUACCAACUAAUCACGACCCAGAUUUCAUACACUUAGGGGUCGUGAUGGCGCCUACUCGUAGAAGCUAGGCAAGCCAUGAAAUUAGAAAUCAUUAACUCUUUUUGUUUUAAAUCUCUUUACCAAGUUUAUUAACAAGAAAUAAACAUGUAAAUAACAAUCAAAUAUGAAAUUUAGCGGAAGACUUAAGUAAAUGUAGAACCAAAAUAUCUCAAAAUCAUCACAUACUUCUAACCAGAACCUAGCUUCACAACAUCCCUGGACUACUAAAAGUACUAAAUACAACAGUUUGAAGAAAAUAUAACUCUAUUUGUCUCGAAUACAUGAGAUAAUAGAACAAAAUAUAAGACUAAGGACACGCUGGGCCUUCAAACACCUACAAGACUACCUCGGUGUCUCGAUUCAUUGAAGGCUGGAUCCCGAGCUACUAUUGCUAACCAAAAGGGGCUUUGAUUUCUUCCCAUAAGUACAGAGUGUAGCAGCAGCAAAACCGACCCUAUUUAUUGGUAAGUGUUUGGCCUAACACUGACGAAGUAGUAACGAGGCUAGAACCAGACUCUAGAUAAUAACAUGUGCAGCUAUAUAACAUAUUGCGGAUAAAUUAAUUGGAAAUAAAAGUUUAAAAGCGAGGGGGUACAUGCUUCGUGUAAAUGUAUCCACCUAAUAGAAACCAAACAAAUAUACGAAAGAACAUUACAGUAUCCACAACAAUGUAAGAAUACUAUUGUUGUAGCGUGCAACCCGAUCCUUUUGUCAUUAAACAAUGUUGUGGCGUGAAACCCGAUCCAAAUAUAUACAUAGAUAGAUGUUGUGGAGUGCAACCCGAUGAAAUAUAAUAAUUGUUGCUGCGUGCAACCCGAUCCAAUAUAAUAUCAAUUGCGGUGUGUAACCCGAUCCAUAUAUAUAUUUAUAUCAAUAAAAAUGUUGCGACGCGCAACUCAUUCCAAAUUUAUAGCUUACACUGAUUAUAACACUCCUUGCAAGGGAUCAAUAUAAACCGUACUAUCCCAGCAAGGGAACUCACCAGUACAAGUAUAUACGUCCUGAAAAGGGAAAAUCGGCUAUAACCAAUCUCAACUCAACUCCUAAUCAUAUCAAUUAUCACUAUUUAUAAAUCGGAGGUAACUUCCACAAAAAUAAACUAAGCCUUUGCUCAAUGCUACGGAUUUACUCACAUUGCAACCAUAGAAUCAUUCAAGAAUACAACAAGUAUCAAUUUAAGACUCACGGUCAUACUCGACACUAACGUAUAGAUACUCGUCAACAUGCCUAUACGUUGUACUCAACAAGAAACAAGUAGCAAAUAUGACUCAACUCCCAAUCCCUCAAGCAAAGGUUAGACCAAAUAUUUACCUCAAACUUCCACAGCCAAAUCAAUCCUCAAUUACCAUUUUUCUCUCGAAUUGGGCUCCAAAUCAAUUGUAUCUAUACAUAAAUGACUUCAUAACAUCAAUAAAUGCUUAACAAUUCAAAUCCAAUGCGUAAUUGUAAAUUUACAAUCAUUCUUCCAAAAACCACUAAAAUUGAUGCUUGGUCAAAAUACAAGGUUCGGACCAAAAUCAAUUUACCCAUUCACCCACGAGCCUAAAUAUAUAAUUAUUUUAAGAAUUCAACCGCAAAAUAAGGUCUAAAUCACAAUUAAUCAAAAAGUCCUAACUCUACCCAAAUCCCUAAUUUUCUACCCUUAAUCACAUAUUUUAGGCCUAUCAAUCUAAUAGAUGUUGAUGAAAAUGCAAGAAAAUAAGUUAAAGGUUACUUACCCAAGAGAUUAUGGUGAAGAAAUACUUCACGUAUCGCCUAAGAGCUUUGGAGAAGAAGAGGUUUUGUGAAAUUUUGAGAAAUUCCGUAAGUGUUCUGUUUUUGGUUUUAAUAAUUCACUAGGAAAUUUUACUCUACGAGAUCAGGACUGACCCCUCGCAUUCACGUCCAACCGGUCCCGUUCGCGUAAGGUAACUACCCCUCCCCUGUGCAUGUUGGCCUUCGCAUUUGCAUGGCCAGUAACGCGUUUGUGAAGGCAUAGCCCCCCGCUGGCCCGUGUUCGCGAACUUGUCUACACGUUCAAGUAUUAGGAAAUUCCUUCUGGAACAAAUUACACAUCGCGUUCGCGAAUGCCAUCUCGCGAACACGAAGAAGGAAAUACCAUAACACCUGAACAACUUUUUCUGCAAUUUUUCAUAAGUUCCAAAACCUCCAGAAACACAUCCAAAAUACACCCGAGCCGUCGGGGCUCCUAACGAGACAUAUGUACUAACUCAAGAAGAUCAUACAAACUUAUCUGUGUGAUCAAAUCGCCAAAUAACUAUUAAAACAAUAAAUCAAAACUCAAAAUCAAGAAUUUUUCUCAAACCUCUUCAAGUUUCAAAUUUAGCAAUUCUAGCCCGAAUCACGUCAAACGGCGUUUGUUUUUAACCAAAUUUACAGUAAUGACGAAACCAAAAUACGGGCCCGAUACCAUUGCUUUCUAAUCAAAAUUCAUUUCAAUUUUCCUAAAAUAAUUUCUGAAAACAACUUUUCUUAAAAAUUCAUUUCAAGGCUUGGGACCUCGAAAUUCGAUUAUGAGCAUAGCCCAAGUCCCAUAUUUUCCUACGGACCCUUCGAGACUAUCGGAUCACGGGUCCGGGUAUGUUUUCACAAAAUGUUAACCGAAGUAAAAUUUACUCAUUUUAUAAUCAAAACUUAGCAUUUUUCACAGAUUUUCAUAUUUAAGGUUUCCGAUUAUGUGCCUGGACUGUGCACGAAAAUUGAGCUUAUGAAUAAUGAGGUUUUCAAGGCCCCGGAGACAUAUAAUUCAAUUAAUAGUGGGUGAUGACCUUUUGGGUCGUCACAAAAUUAAAGCUAGAGUGGCAACGCGACUCGAAAACUAGACCCCAAAUAGUAAUACUGCAAUAUAACCAAGGGCACGACAUAAAUGCCACUAUUGCCAUCCAAGUGAGCCUUCGGGCCACAUACCUAUUAGGUCACUAUGACCCGAGGCAAAAAAGGACAUCAUCAUCCGUCCAUGCUGGAAAGAAAGAACAUAAGGGUCAAUUAAAGCUCGAGUCGCAACGUGACUCUUAGACUAGACCCGAAAUAUUUAAACUACAAUAUGCCAAAGGGCACGACAUAAAUUCCACUGUCGCCAACCGAGUGAGACUAUGGGCCACGCGCCUAUAAGUUCAGUACAACCCGAAGCACAAAAAGGCCAUCAUCGUCCACCCAUGUGGGCAGGAAAGAACUUGAGGGUCGAUUAAAGCUUGAAUAGCAAUGCGACUCGGUGGUUGGACCCAAAAUAGUUGAAACGAAAAAUGCCGAAAAAUAAAAAAUCAAAAAAAUCACUAUCUGCCCAUAGGGAACAAAAGAUUGAAGUUUGGGCAAGCUCGAGUCAAGGCCUAGCUAACUCGGAGACUAAGCCUAAAUAUCUAGGCAAAACAUGGAGUCCCCAAUGCCUACUCAUGUCAAGGAUCAUACUUAAAAGUCUCCGAGCCUUCCUGAUUAAUUUCGGACUUACGAGGAUACCUCCAAACACAAAAACUAGCCUGCCUAGUCAAAAGGAGUACAUAAAGAGAUGCUAAAGAAAAAAAGCUUCAAGUUUUCUCUUAUCUUACAUAUGCAAAAAAAUCACACUCUUCAUCUACAAACAUUCUCUCCAAGUAUCAAGUAUAAAAUGGAAAAUGGCGAAAUCUACACUCCACUCCAAAGGGCUACAAUUUACCAAAUUCACCCUCCACCACAUCAUCAAGAAGUGAUUGAGCAUCACACUUAUCUGCCCUUGCUCGAGCGAAUUCCUUCGAGAGAACGAAGCCCUUUGCACCGAUCUUAUCGAGUACCUCUCUUCAGGUUCUGCAACGAACAUAUUCCUCGAUCAUGUUCUCCCGAUCGAGUGCUCACUUCAGCUUGGCUUGGGCAUCGGCAGUGUCAUUCAUAUGAAUCGCCAUCUCCUAAUAAGGCUUGGUUUGGCUUAGUACCACUUCAGCCCGGGCAUCAAUUAUCUCAGCCCUAAUAUUUGAGAGAUUAGAUUCAAGUUUCCCAAUCAUAUCAGCUUAAACUUUGGCAUUGUUAGGAUCUAAGAGGAGUUGGGCAUCGAAGGCAGGGACCUUGGCGAGGCGCCUGUCUCCUCUAAUGCAUGAGUUUGCUCUUGAGCCCUUAUCUCACCACAAGCAGUUCUGACAGGGUCGAUGUUGCCGUUGAGGUACUCCAAGGCUCCGUCUUUGUUUGUAGCUAAUAUAACAAAAAUGGGUUAACCUUAAGGUCCAAAGGGAGUGAAGCCCGAGCUAUAAGAAGUUACCUAAUCCAGUAAAUAGCUCUCAUAAUCCAAGCUCCAGUGUGCCCCAUAUCUCCAAUACACCAACUCAACCUCCUUCUCCUUGCCAAGGAGCCUAAGGGACUCUUCGUCGUCUAGAAUUUUCCGAAGCCUGGCCCCUUGACAGAGUAGCUCAGUCAUAAGGCUAUCACGGACCUGGAUAAGAAAUAAAAUUAGAAGGACGCGGAAUAAAGGAAAACCGAUCCUAACCAUACCACGAAGUAUAGCCGACGGACAUCCUUGAAGUCAAAGCACAAUCUUGUUGAUCCUGCCUCUUCGGGCAUAGGAGAACCCACCUCUGGCAAAGCAUAUUCACUCAGAGGAAUCGGAGCUAGAGAAUUAGAUACUCCAGGAACAACGAACGACCUAUGCCUACUCCGCGAAGAAGCAGGAUCAUUCGGCACCACUAAAAUCUCCAUCACACUAUGGGUGCCAAUCCCGUUUAUUGCCAUUGUCCCUCGGCUCGGAGGCCGGCGCCUCUUUCUUCCCUUCGAAAGAGCACUGUCUCAUCCGAAAAACCGACUGAUACCUGCAAAUGGCAAAGCCAGUACAAAAUAAAGGAGGGAAAUUUUACCUCAAAUAUAUGAAGUCCAAGGCAAAGGCAGCGUGCACGCAUGCCUUGGUAUUUCGCUCCCAUCUGGCACGGAAUACAGCUCGCCACCGACGCUCAUCACACAUAAAAUGAGUUGCCAGCCUCCAAACCCAUUCGGGCAGGUCAAGGACUUCGCCUGCCAUCCAUGAGUUGUUGCAACAAGGGACAAAACACUAUUACUCAAUUGAUUUUCGCUAUAGGCAAAAUUUGAAAAAUCAUCAGAUGCUCCGCUCACAUGCAUAAUUCCACCCUUCAGGAAAUAGCAAAAGCUCCACAGGGAUAACGUCGACCGUCUGAACCCGAAUAAACCAGCUGGCCCACUCUCGAUCCUCGUCUUCUUCUUCAUGGACAAAAAAGGGUAUGGAUGAAUGGCACCGCAGGGUUAGCAGGCCUUAAUGAAGAAAGAGCCGUUAUAGCCUGACGAGGCGGCUAAGCAUGAAUUCAAGCGCAUCCUUUUAUGCAAAGAAUCUCAUCAUCAGCACAAAUUACCAAAACGACGAACAUAUCUGCACCAAAGUAAUAUGAUACUUCAAGCAAAAAUCAAGCACAACGCUAUUAGGGGGGCCAAAUGCAAGGAUAUACGUAUACGCUCAAGAAUCCAUCAGUGGAGUCCGUAAUACCCUCAUCUGGGAGAGCUCCUACAGUGCUAUCCCUUCGCUCCAUCCAUAGUGUCUCCUCACCAUCUGCAUAUGUUCCUCUCUUAUCAAAGACACGGUCUUCAGAGCGAAAUCCCGUGGUUCCUGAGCGUCGAAAGCAGCAGUUCCCACUCCCUGUCAGGCUGACCCCGAAAUGGUUGUCAUGGCUAUGGUAAAACUAGAAGAUCAGAGAAAGGACGUACGCCAAUACUUUUGCGCCUUAAGAAAUCAACAACCCUAUGCCAAAAAAGAAGGGAAACUAUCUAAAAUAGUGAGGUCUUGCGAAGAAGCCGAAGCCGGCCCACACAUGUGCGAGAAGCAGCAACGACUUACCUACCCGGAGUGAACCCCCGGAAGCCCACAGCCUCAAUAUAAAUCGAUGGGGUGAUACCCGAUCCUGGAAGUAUCCUUCGAUAGGAAGCCAUGGUUCAAGGAGUCAGUCGUAUUAUCUCUAAUUUCCAGGCAUCAUUCUACCUUAUGGAUUCCCGCCAAAAAGUAAUUGGGCUUCGGUAAUCUUUCAACGCCAUCACUCGACUCAAGACAAUAUUCAGUCUUAUGAUUUCUUUUUUCUUAAAAGAGAAAUAAGCACGCGAAGCUCCGAUCACAAGGGCUCUACGAAGGCCCGAGGCAGCGCCUGAACAUAGCAACUCCUCUAUCUUACACACAUUAAAAAUCUACUUGCAUCGAGAUCAAAAUGGACCCCCAGGUACCCAAAGCUGACCUUGAUUCAGGAUAACAUUCUCGAGAGCCCCGAAACUCGACAAAUAAUCUCCAUGCAACUCGGACGGCCCGACAGUCCGAGCCUAUUAGAUCAACUUAGGUAUAGACUAAGGUACAAUGAUGGGCUCGAAUAAAAGACAUGCCGAUCAGCAGAGGAUCAAAAAGAAUGAUCUCACCCGAGACAAAAAUUAGUGGUCAUUAAUAAAGGAAGACAUUUAAAAAACAUGGAAAGGCAUGAGAGCAUACAAAAAUAAGGCAAGGAUUGAAAGUAGAAGUCAUAUAGAGUAUAUUCAUAUUCAUAAAAAUUCGUGUACAACAGCCCUCGUAGGGUUAUUACAUACAAUUACAAAAGCCCGCAGAGGAUCUCUACGCAUAAAGGAAACAACAAAGGGAUGCACAUUCGAAGUAAAAGAUAGAAGACUUGUCCACCUUCGAAGGUCCACAACAGGUGCAUGCAGACGCAUAUCCUCAGAAGUUCCAUCCCAUCCUUCCACACUGAUAUCGCCAAGGGAUAAGGCGAGUAGCAGGAAGGAAUGAAAAAAUGUCGUAGCUCUCGAAGCAAGAGGACCCUCGUUGGCCAAAAGAAAUUCGGAGAGACAGCAGACCGAACAAGCUUCGGUCCCCCCUUGCACGGAAACUUAGAAUCCACUUCUUAGAACGUCUAGCCGUUAAAGCCCCAAACUCAAGGUAGAGCACCACAUCGAGCCGGGGUAUGAAGGUGGGCGGCGGUGCACAUUCCGAGCCCCUUUUUGAGCAGUGGCAUGUAAUUUGAAGAGCUUUCUGCGAACAAGGAAAGAUGGCCUUCAUAUGUUAUCAUCUCGAGCCAACAGUGGCAGUCACGGUAAACAUGUCAAUGACCACAGCAGAAAUGAGGCGGCACAAUCAUGCUCGACAAAGAAAAGCCCUGGCAAAAGGCCACAACACAAUCUAAGGAAGUUUCGCCAAACGGUCUUGUGGCUCUGAGCCCCAAGCACGAUCUGCAAGAGUAAAGGAAGAUGAUAAUAAGAGAUGGGCAAAUGAACCAACGAAAGCAUUGGGAUAUGAAAAAAAAUGCCAAGGCAUCCCCAUUUAUAGGGGGUAACGACACGGUCAUCGCCUCGAUGGAAGAUUAACUGGCGGGCGUGGUUAAUGCAUACUUGAAAAACCAAACCGACGACAGUACCUUCAGCAUGGAGAGCGAGAAUCGGGAGUGCAUUAAAUGAAGUGAAAAUACACAAGCCUGUGGACGCCUCGGUUACCACAAAACUCAUUCCAUGAGUCGCAUUAUUGGUAUGACAUAUCCGUAAGAAGCUGGAGGAGUCAAGUGUCAGAAUCAUAUCCCAUCACUUCAUUCUGGGAAAUGCCGAUACUAUCUGUACGCAGCGAAAUUAGAGGACUUGAUUUCUCAUAGUUAUUUCAAAAGAACGCUUCGAGACAGCAAGGACGGAAGAAACGAAUGAGUUCUCGACCUUGGGGCUCGUCAAGGCCUGACUCAUAGAAGAUGGAGAUCAAAACAAGGACAGAAGGGGAAGCUCCCAAGGCACACAAUUAAGUCUGACAGGGUCGGCCUAUCCACAGCCUAUGUUGAGGCAUCGCUUCAAGUCGUCCCAUCUUCAUACUUUAUAAUUAAUGCUCGUGUACUAGUAGUCGAGUUCCCCUCUUAUAUAAAGGGAACUCGAACUAUCUUGUAGAGGACUAAUGCUGCUCCAUUUCUCCACAAGUGCAAUAAUAUCUCUCUCUUCUUUCUAAGUUCUCUCGUCCUCAUUGGCCUGAGGCCAUUUUAAUGUUUAUUUUGUUGCUGCUAAGCUAAAAUAGGUUUUCUCAUGUCUAGAUGUAACCAGCUGUAUGUUUAAGUCAAAACCUAUUUAGGUGUAGUGUUUACUAAUUUUAAUCUUUUUUGUGACAUUGUUGACACUGUGAAGCUAAUAUCUAAUUGUUAAGUUAUCUUCCAUAUAGGAGGACCUAAUCAUUCUAGUUAUAGGUUAGGUGAUAAUUUUUGAAAAUUGAGUAUGAUUAUUUCACAUUUAGAUUCUAAUUAAGACUAACCGCCCUAUCUGCCUUAGCUAAACUUGUUUUGGUAUAAUACCUUUGUCUAGUACUCCCUCCCCUCAUGACAUGACUAGAUUAGUUCUAUAACAUGUAUAGCCCCCUUCUCUGUAUAAUAUUACAACCUCACUUAAGGUUUCUAUAUAUAAUUAACUAAAUAUUGCAUAUUUUCCUGUUUGGCUUCUGCAUUCCAUGCUCUUGUAUUGAAGAUAUACCCAAUUAUCUCUUUUCUACUAUUCUGAAAUUGACUCUAAUUUUCAAACCUAUGAAUAGUUUUCUAUUACUGUUGAUUGAACACAAUUAUUUAUUUAAGGUUAAUACUCCUAUGAAUGUGAUGUUGUUAAGCACCUUAGGGAUUCCAUGUUCAAAUGUAAGAACUUGUAGUUAUGUUGAGAGUUUAAUCAUAUUUCUAAUAUCUCUGAUAACUUCUGUAAAAGUGGUUAGCUAUAGCUGUUGUGUCUGAUGCUUUAUGGAUGCCCAUUAAAAGUUCCAAGUGGUGCUAUUAAUUCAUGGAUGUGCUAGUAGCAAUCUAAUCAAUUUAUAACUAGUCUGCCAGGGCAUAAAUGUAUGUAUUUCUUGUGCAGCUGCAUAUCUGAAAUAUUAAGUUUUUUUAAUUUCUCUUCGAAUGUGUUUUUCCCUAAUGGUUAAGCCAUUAAUAGAAUGUUAUGAUAUUUUUGCUUUAUGUCUGGCCUUUAGAUUUACUUGAUAUGUAUAUUGUUCAUUUGGUACCAAACAUACACUAUGUGCCCUUAUGUUAUUAUGUUAGAAUGAAAAUUUUAUUUUUGUGAUAAGUGAUACCAUAGAAUUUAGUUUAUAUUUAAAGGGUCUUAUUGACACUUAAACCCAUAGAAAAAAAUAAUUCGUUGGUGGUUGAGGGUAUUUGGGAGUGAAGUUUGACUCUAGGUUGGGUUGCUCUGCUGGAUACAAGUAAAUAACAUUAGUUUCAAGUUGGAAGAUCUAUAGCACUGAUAUACCUUCAUGUUUUUAUCACAGAGACCGAUCUCGGCCCAAUCGGCUAAGCCGUCUUAUUAGAAACAUCCAAUCACAACAACACCAUGUGCACGGCAUGACAUCCAAUCUCAGCCAGAUUAGCUAAGUCGUCUUACCAUAAUGUCGUGUGGGUCGACAUCACAUUCCGCUAGCAAUAAUCACAUCCCAAUUAUGGGAAUAAUCUCAUCACAUCAAUCUCAUCCCAAUUAAGGAGAAUAAUUUUAUCACAUCAGUAUAGGAUAUACCCCUCAAUCACACCUACAUUGGCAUAUGUAGUUUUGGGGCUAUGUAAUUUCAACAUACCCUUCCUCGGGGCUUAUACUCCCGAAAAUAUGUUUGUUUUGCAUAUAAAGGAACAGAAAUAUAAAUAUAUUCAUCUCAUAACUUUUCACACCAUGUAUAGCACUAUUAGUACUUUCAACCACUCAUAGCAUCAUCAUUCAUCAGCUCUCUUGGCCAUACAUAUGAUUAUUCAUUCAUGGCACAGUGUUCGUACCUCAUAUUCCACACGUUCAUUUAUUUACUUUCCAGGUUCAUUAUCAUAAAUAACAACGUACAUAAUAUUUUUGAUAUCAUAUAUCUGAGUUCAUUAGCAAUGACGACUUUAAACACAAUGGACUUCUUUCUAUAGAAAUGGAGAAAAAAUGAUAGGCAAUCAAAGCACAAGUUAAAAAUCAUAAACGACUGACACGCAAUUUAUUCUUUUCAUACUCUUCUCCAAGAGGGCAAUACUAAAUUUUGGCUUAUGAAUAUGUAAGAACUCAAAACACAUUGGAAGUAUUUAUAAAGCUUAGCAUGGUGAUUUAUGAUUGAAACAAUGGUUCGAAUCAUAGAUGUUACAAAACAACCACAUUUGAACAUGACUUUGGUGCAUAAGCUUCUAGGAAAAUCCAUUUUCAGAGUCGUUUGGAACAGUUUAAUUAAGACUCAUUUCAUAAUCUUUCAUACAUUAUUCCAAUUCAUUGGCACUAUUGACCCCAAGCAUAACUUUUAUUCUUCGCACGAUGGCCACAUUCUAGAUCUCAUGUUCACUUCUUUCACUUUCAAGAGCCCUCAUAGAUUAUCGACAACAAGAGCAUUUGGGAUCAAGACUUUGAAUUUAGAUAUAAGCAAUAUGGUCUUAAACAUAUUGAAUUUUCUUUCCAUGUUAAGCACAAUAGAUUUUCAUUUGAAACAUGAAUUGAAGUCAUAACAUUUUAAUGCAUAAAAUACUUGAAAGACAUUCUCAAAGAGGUCAUAAUAGGAUAGGAACAAUUAAAACACGUUUUGAGUAUAUACAUCUUUUGACACAGUGCCUAACUGGGAUAUUCCACUCUACUAGGAAUAACUCAGAAUAUGAAAAUUCGGAAUCUGGCCAACCAUAUUGAAACUUAUAAGAACAUAAUGGAAUUUGAUUAUAAAAGAGUCGUUUAGCCAACAUAUCUUGUUUGAGCUUUCCAUUAAGUUACUACAAUGUCCGAACACUUCUAGCAAUAUUAUUCUAUAGGAACAUAGCGAAAAUCGGAUAAUACUUAGAAGUAUUCUCAUGGUAUAACUAUCUUGGAAAUUUUGUCAAACACAUACUAUGCAAUAUUGACUACCAAGAUCUACACUCUCUUCCUCCCUCAACCAAUUUCAACAAGAAAGUACCCAAAAUAGUUCAAUAUUCCUAAAUAAUACCACCUAUGUCACAUGUAAGGCCUAUCUCCAACACCAUAACCUUCUAAAACCCAUAACAAUUACAUGGUGGUUUUAGAACAAGGUCUUACCUGGAUAGAUGAUAACCUAAUGAGUGAUUUCCUUGAAUAUUCAAGAUUGGUCAUGGAUAGAUGAUUAGAAUGACUAGGUCUUCUCCCUCUCUCGCUCUAACAUAUUAUCACUUCUCUAAAACAUCAGAUAAUUGCAUCAAAAUAAGCCCCAAAGGCUAUUCAUGAAAUGGGAUCGAGUUAUAUAAGUGGAAAAUGAACUCUACGAACAUAACUCUACGAUCACAUAGUGGACUGAAGAAUAGAUUUGCGGCCCUCAAAAUGGACCACAAAAGUGAUACCAAAAAGAGGAUUGGCCUAGACCAGUCUGUGCUCCAUAGACCAGUUCCUUGACCGUGAAAUGGACCACGAAGUUACCCUCCAACUUUCUUUAUGCUAACUUAGUGAUGGAAGUGCAGACUACAAAAUAGAUAUGCAGUCGCACAACGGACCUCUUAAACGAUCUUUAAAAUUCAAUAAAAUUUCUGCUCAAUGCUGCAAAAAUUUUAUGCGAUCACAUAACUACGAUCUUCGUACUGAUUUGUCUACCUCGGCACCAGAAAAUCUUAAUUUCCUUGGUAAUAUUUUACAGGGCCUUAUACUUGAGUCCCAUGGGAACUUUGAAGUGGUG
rnacentral:lncRNA from 1 species